ensembl:lncRNA
GGGCUUUGAGUCAAAACUGAGUCCUGUGCUGAGCCUGGCAUGUCUGACCCCGGGCUGAGAAUGUUCAGGAGGCACAGCCCCAAGGGCCAGCUGGGUCUUUCAUGUUUAGGACACACUCUCUCCACAGGACUCACCAGACCCCCAGGAAUCCAGUUCUAGAUGGUCUGAAAUGCUCAGCUUUUGCGGUUCUGAGGCUGAGCCCUGGUUGCCAGUGUGGAGGUGUCUCCUGCGCUGGAGUGUAGCGGAGUAGCUUCUCCGUCAACUGGGGCAUUCAAGUGCACCCCUCAGCCACCCCCAGGCAGCCAUGAGUGCGUUAGGUAAGCCCAUUCCUAAAAGGUGGUGGAAGACAAGCUCCUGUCCCCCGCAACCCAACGGUAUGAACCUUUCCGAUAAAGCUCAAGGCCAGCAGUGUGAUAGUGGGAGGAGAGAGACAGAUUCCUGCAAGCAGAUGCCAACUCUGAAGGUCAAACUAAGCUAUGGAGCUGCUUUAGGAGGAGGCCCAGAGUCCACCACAGCCCCACCCCAGGAUUCGGGGAGAGAGGUGAGGCCCCAUCCCCAGCUGCGUCCCAGGCCCUGAACUACCGAGACCCUCUCUGGGAGCAGCCUGGGGCCAGGAAGCCUGAGCUCUGCAGUCAGAGCUGGGUUCAAAGACCAGUUACUUAACAGCCCGUGUAACUGCAGAAGCCAAGGGCCUUAGCUGGUCCAGUGCUCAGCAACAGCAUGGGGACCCUGGCUCGCCUCCGCCAGCCCCCGUGUCCUCUGUGUCCCUCAGCUUUCCGGCCAGCACUUCCUGAAGCCUGAGAACUCCCAGCUUGCCUCUGCCUGGGGCUCCAGAAAGUCCUAGACUUCUUGGGUCCCAGCUCAUCCCAGAUGCUGAUUGGACAAGCCUGGCUCCGGAGCUUGCCCCAGUAUAGGGAGGGCCAACACCCCUAGAACCACACGGAGAAAGUGGGAGUGAGCCGCCCGCCCCCGCCCCCCCCAAGGAGCCAAUGUCAGGCACUGGGCAGAAACAGCACCCACGCCCACCCUGCUAAGCCGAGUUUGGAGGACUGCUUCUGGAGCACUGUGCUCAGCUUUAUGGCUUUCACCCACUGGGCGUCCCGCUGGCUAAGUUCCUUAGGCUCUCAGGAGCUCAUUUUCUUCAUCUUCGAAAUCUCAUAGGAUUCUUUUAAGGAUUGAAGGAGACAGUGCAUGCAAAUCCCUUGGCACCUUCCUGACCCAGAGGAGGGGCCGAUGCUAACUCGUUCCCUUUCUCUUCCCUGUAUGUAGGUUCUAUGUGAUUCCAUCGAGAUCUGUAUGGUCUGAAAGAGCAGUGUGUGUGUGUGUGUGUGUGUGUGUGUGUGUGUGUGCGUGCAUGUGCACACAGUAGGCCUGGCCCUUUCUCUUCUCCAAGGAGUUUGUAUUGGCUGGCUUCUCUCCGGAGAUGGUUGAGGUCUACACAGGACAGAGGGUAGAGGCAAGAGGGACCAGAGAGGGGUGGGUAGAGAAGCCUGUGGGCUCAGGCCUGCCUCUGGAGUCUGCGUGCCCUCAGCUCCGGCUGCAGCUGGAGGAAGGGCCCCAUCUCUAAGGAGUAGCUGCCCCCGGCCCUCCCGCACCGCAUCGUCAGUGUCUGGUCAUUUGACACUGGGUGUGAGGGGUCCUGCCCUGAGCUAGAGUUGCUGAUCUCCUAUAUUCUCUCUCUUGCAACCCCGGAACCUGGGGCCUGGGUCACUUGCGGAACCCAGGCCUGAGGCUUCUCAGAAGAGGAAGCCUAGGGGUGCCUGGGUGGCUCAGUCCAUU